rnacentral:rRNA from 1 species
GUGGAUUAGUGGCGAACGGGUGAGUAUCACGUGAGUAACCUGCCCUUGACUCUGGGAUAAGCCUGGGAAACUGGGUCUAAUACCGGAUACGACUAGUCACCGCAUGGUGUGCUGGUGGAAAGCUUUAGCGGUUUUGGAUGGACUCGCGGCCUAUCAGCUAGACGGUGAGGUAAUGGCUCACCGUGGCGAUGACGGGUAGCCGGCCUGAGAGGGUGACCGGCCACACUGGGACUGAGACACGGCCCAGACUCCUACGGGAGGCAGCAGUGGGGAAUAUUGCACAAUGGGCGAAAGCCUGAUGCAGCGACGCCGCGUGUGGGAUGACGGCCUUCGGGUUGUAAACCACUUUCAGCAGGGAAGAAGCUUUUUGUGACGGUACCUGCAGAAGAAGCGCCGGCUAACUACGUGCCAGCAGCCGCGGUAAUACGUAGGGCGCGAGCGUUAUCCGGAAUUAUUGGGCGUAAAGAGCUCGUAGGCGGUUUGUCGCGUCUGCUGUGAAAGCCCGGGGCUUAACCCCGGGUGUGCAGUGGGUACGGGCAGGCUAGAGUGCAGUAGGGGAGACUGGAAUUCCUGGUGUAGCGGUGAAAUGCGCAGAUAUCAGGAGGAACACCGAUGGCGAAGGCAGGUCUCUGGGCUGUUACUGACGCUGAGGAGCGAAAGCAUGGGGAGCGAACAGGAUUAGAUACCCUGGUAGUCCAUGCCGUAAACGUUGGGCACUAGGUGUGGGGGACAUUCCACGUUUUCCGCGCCGUAGCUAACGCAUUAAGUGCCCCGCCUGGGGAGUACGGCCGCAAGGCUAAAACUCAAAGGAAUUGACGGGGGCCCGCACAAGCGGCGGAGCAUGCGGAUUAAUUCGAUGCAACGCGAAGAACCUUACCAAGGCUUGACAUACACCGGGAC